rnacentral:rRNA from 1 species
GAACGCUAGCUACAGGCUUAACACAUGCAAGUCGAGGGGCAUCAGGAAGAAAGCUUGCUUUCUUUGCUGGCGACCGGCGCACGGGUGAGUAACACGUAUCCAACCUGCCCUUUACUCGGGGAUAGCCUUUCGAAAGAAAGAUUAAUACCCGAUGGCAUAAUGAUUCCGCAUGGUUUCAUUAUUAAAGGAUUCCGGUAAAGGAUGGGGAUGCGUUCCAUUAGGUUGUUGGUGAGGUAACGGCUCACCAAGCCUUCGAUGGAUAGGGGUUCUGAGAGGAAGGUCCCCCACAUUGGAACUGAGACACGGUCCAAACUCCUACGGGAGGCAGCAGUGAGGAAUAUUGGUCAAUGGGCGCUAGCCUGAACCAGCCAAGUAGCGUGAAGGAUGAAGGCUCUAUGGGUCGUAAACUUCUUUUAUAUAAGAAUAAAGUGCAGUAUGUAUACUGUUUUGUAUGUAUUAUAUGAAUAAGGAUCGGCUAACUCCGUGCCAGCAGCCGCGGUAAUACGGAGGAUCCGAGCGUUAUCCGGAUUUAUUGGGUUUAAAGGGAGCGUAGGUGGACUGGUAAGUCAGUUGUGAAAGUUUGCGGCUCAACCGUAAAAUUGCAGUUGAUACUGUCAGUCUUGAGUACAGUAGAGGUGGGCGGAAUUCGUGGUGUAGCGGUGAAAUGCUUAGAUAUCACGAAGAACUCCGAUUGCGAAGGCAGCUCACUGGACUGCAACUGACACUGAUGCUAAAAGGUGUGGGUAUCAAACAGG